rnacentral:rRNA from 1 species
UACGUAGGGACCAAGCGUUGUUCGGAUUUACUGGGCGUAAAGGGCGCGUAGGCGGUUUGUCAAGGUCAGUUGUGAAAUCUCCGAGCUUAACUCGGAACGGUCAACUGAUACUGUCAAACUAGAGUACAGAAGGGGCAAUCGGAAUUCUUGGUGUAGCGGUGAAAUGCGUAGAUAUCAAGAGGAACACCUGAGGUGAAGACGGGUUGCUGGGCUGAUACUGACGCUGAGACGCGAAAGCGUGGGGAGCAAACAGG